AAGCGCUUGCAGCCAGACUUGCCUGUAGUUGCUUAUCCGAACUUUUGUUCGGUGCACUCUUCUAUAGGCAGGCCAGCAUCAGUUUGGGCGGUUGGAUAAAGGUCGCUGUCAUGUACCUCCUCUCGGGGAGGCCUUAUAGGGGCGACGUCAUGCAACCAGCCUGGACUGAGGUCCGCGCAUCUGCUAGGAUGCUGGCGUAAUGGCUGUAAGCGG
rnacentral:rRNA from 1 species